AGUAAUAUCUUGGUCAGAAUCAGAGUCUGAUGCUUCUAAGGGAUUGUAUAUGGUUUCAUUAUCUGAAGAAGAAGAAGUUUCAUUAUAUUCAGUAAGGAUGGUAAACUUGGCAUGGUUUUGACUGGAUAUUUCCAUGUUUCUGGUAGACUGACAUCUUUCCAUUGUAUGGCCUUAGGUAUAUUUAUAUUAGCUUUGGUUUGGUCAAUUUCCCAAAAAAUUGUUUCUCCUGUUUGUCUAUUAUGAUUAAUGGCAUUAGGACAUAAUCCUGUAUUCA